rfam:Populus trichocarpa isolate Nisqually-1 chromosome 9, whole genome shotgun sequence.
UAAUAUGUACAUGAGAAAUCCUCAUCUAGUUAUGGUAGUUUUCCAUCUGAUUGUUUAGAGUCACCUGUGAGAACUAUUGUGAGGACAAUAACUUUUUAAGAUUUU